GGGAAGGAAGGGGUUACUAGUGACAGAGUGAGGGGAUGACUGGUGACAGAGUGAGGGAGGGAGUGGGUGACCAGUGACAGAGGGAGGGAGUGACACAGUGACAGAGUGAGGGAGGUGGUGAAUAGUGACAGAGUGAGGGAGGUGGUGACUGUCACUAGUCACCACCUCCCUCACUCUGUCCCUAGUCACCCCUCCCUCUGUCACUAGUCACCCCCUUCCUCUGUCACCGGUCACACACUCCCUCCCUCACUCUGUCACCAGUCAUCCCCUCACUCUGUCACUAGUAACCCCUUCCUUCCC
rnacentral:sRNA from 1 species